rnacentral:lncRNA from 1 species
UUUUGCUUCUUUAAACAACAUGGACUGCAUUGUGUCUUGAACCAUCUCAUGGUCCAUCACAGGUGUGGCGCCUGGUGGCUCCUCUCCUUUGAAUUCAUGCUCCUUAGUUCCUGUUACAUCACCCUUUGACAAAGACAAGUGCAUCAUACAAGAAUUUUGAGCUAAUAAAUCAGAUUGAAUAAAACUAUCACUCUUCAUAGAUAAAUCAGUUUUCUUUUCUAGUGAUGCUUCUAUCAAUGCUUGUUUACUUGGACAAACUACAGCAAAGUGUCCUCUUUU